AUUGAACGCUGGCGGCAGGCUUAACACAUGCAAGUCGAGCGAGCGGCGGACGGGUGAGUAAUGUCUGGGAAACUGCCUGAUGGAGGGGGAUAACUACUGGAAACGGUAGCUAAUACCGCAUACCAUCAGAUGUGCCCAGAUGGGAUUAGCUAGUAGGUGGGGUAAUGGCUCACCUAGGCGACGAUCCCUAGCUGUUCGGAGAGGAUGACCAGCCACACUGGAACUGAGACCGGGUCCAGACUCCUACGGACGGCAGCCGUGGGGAAUAUUGCACAAUGGGCGCAAGCCUGAUGCAGCUCUGCCGCGUGUGUGAAGAAGGCCUUCGGGUUUUAAAGCACUUUCAGCGAGGAGGCGUUACUCGAAGAAGAAGCACCGGCUAACUCCGUGCCAGCAGCCGCGGUAAUUC
rnacentral:rRNA from 1 species